GUUUGUCAUUCGAUACCUCCUUCUAUUUUAACACGUGUUUUGUUCAGGUACUUUGAAUAUUAUUAUUAUUACUUAACUGGUUGCUGUUUUAUUCCACCGUAAAGUUUUCUGAUUAUUUGUUGUUGAAUCAAGUUCAUUUCUCCAAUAUAUAAGACCAAUUAAAUUCGAUUUGUUAACUUAUCAAGUAAUGCAGAAUCCCAGAACGAUAUAUUUCCGAGCACGUGGCAACAAAAAAUGUACAAUAACGCCUUUGAUCGUUACCUAUGCGUUAUCUGAAACGAUACACUCCACAUGGGAAUUCCAGUAGAGCAUCAUACAUCCCAAAACGUGAUGCAGACAAUGACAAAAUUGAAUUAACUAAAACUUUGACAAUUAGCUAUCAAAAACUGCGACAUUCACCAAUGGGAAUAUCGGAAUUGAAGUUAUAGGAUAGUUAUCCUUUAAUUUCUC
rnacentral:lncRNA from 1 species